rnacentral:rRNA from 1 species
UACAGAGGGGGCGAGCGUUGUUCGGAAUUACUGGGCGUAAAGGGCGCGUAGGCGGCCUUCUAAGUCGAACGUGAAAUCCCCGGGCUCAACCCGGGAACUGCGUCCGAUACUGGGAGGCUUGAGUUCGGGAGAGGGAUGCGGAAUUCCAGGUGUAGCGGUGAAAUGCGUAGAUAUCUGGAGGAACACCGGGUGGCGAAGGCGGCAUCCUGGACCGACACUGACACUGAGGAGCGAAAGCCAGGGGAGCAAACGGG